rnacentral:rRNA from 1 species
AGAGUUGAUCCUGGCUCAGAACGAACGCUGGCGGCAUGCCUAACACAUGCAAGUCGAACGAAGGCUUCGGCCUUAGUGGCGCACGGGUGCGUAACGCGUGGGAAUCUGCCCUUAGGUGCGGAAUAACUCAGGGAAACUUGAGCUAAUACCGCAUAAUGACUCCGGUCCAAAGAUUUAUCGCCUAAGGAUGAGCCCGCGUAGGAUUAGCUUGUUGGUGAGGUAAAGGCUCACCAAGGCGACGAUCCUUAGCUGGUCUGAGAGGAUGAUCAGCCACACUGGGACUGAGACACGGCCCAGACUCCUACGGGAGGCAGCAGUGGGGAAUAUUGGACAAUGGGCGAAAGCCUGAUCCAGCAAUGCCGCGUGAGUGAUGAAGGCCUUAGGGUUGUAAAGCUCUUUUACCCGGGAUGAUAAUGACAGUACCGGGAGAAUAAGCCCCGGCUAACUCCGUGCCAGCAGCCGCGGUAAUACGGAGGGGGCUAGCGUUGUUCGGAAUUACUGGGCGUAAAGCGCACGUAGGCGGCUUUGUAAGUUAGAGGUGAAAGCCCGGGGCUCAACUCCGGAAUUGCCUUUAAGACUGCUUCGCUAGAAUUGUGGAGGGGUAAGUGGAAUUCCGAGUGU